UACAGAGGGCCCAAGCGUUGUUCGGAUUCAUUGGGCGUAAAGGGUGCGUAGGCGGCGCGGUAAGUCGGGUGUGAAAUCUCGGAGCUUAACUCCGAAACUGCAUUCGAUACUGCCGUGCUUGAGGACUGGAGAGGAGACUGGAAUUUACGGUGUAGCGGUGAAAUGCGUAGAUAUCGUAAGGAAGACCAGUGGCGAAGGCGGCGACCUGGGUCGACACUGACGCUGAGGCGCGAAAGCGUGGGGAGCAAACAGG
rnacentral:rRNA from 1 species